rnacentral:misc_RNA from 1 species
CGCAGCCGCGGUAAUUCCAGCUCCAAUAGCGUAUAUUAAAGUUGCUGCAGUUAAAAAGCUCGUAGUUGAAUUUCGGGACUAAUAUGUCGGUCGUGCCUCGGUACGUACUGGCUUAUUGGUUUCUCCUUUCUGAAGAACCAUGACGUCAUUUAUUUGGUGUCGUGGGGAAUCAGGACUGUUACUUUGAAAAAUUAGAGUGUUUAAAGCAGGCUCACGCUUGAAUACAUUAGCAUGGAAUAAUGAAAUAGGACGUUUGAUUCUAUUUUGUUGGUUUCUAGGAUCGACGUAAUGAUUAAUAGGGAUAGUUGGGGGCAUUAGUAUUCAAUUGUCAGAGGUGAAAUUCUUGGAUUUAUUGAAGACUAACUACUGCGAAAGCAUUUGCCAAGGAUGUUUUCAUUAAUCAAGAACGAAAGUUAGGGGAUCGAAGACGAUCAGAUACCGUCGUAGUCUUAACCAUAAACUAUGCCGACUAGGGAUCGGAUGAUGUUAAUUUUUUAAUGACUCAUUCGGCGCCUUACGG